AAAGGCUCUGAAUCAGGGGAUAUGCCGUCCGGAUAUUUUUUAUGACAUGCAGCAUAUCAGGAACAAUUUUGAUCAUAUCUUGAGUUUUUAAGAAUCAGUGGAAAUAUGACUUAUUUCGACUCCUGAUUUGCUAAUCAGAAAUCAGGGGUGCGAUACUCAAAGCACAAGUCACGCACACAUGUCUGGAUUAAUAAGUCUAUCAUCCUUAGACAGGCUAUUAUGUUAGAUAUCCGAUUUUAUGAGUUUGGUAGUCAUUUUAAUGUAACAGUUUAAAAUAUGCCAACAGUAGGCUAUGUCUAAUUUCCACGAUUUCUUAAAAUAUAACGGAUGCUUAUCAGCAUGCGCACGCACUUCCCCACCCAACUGACUUUUAAAAUCCAACCACUGCUGCCGAGUCCGACUUCAGUUCAACCGUCAUUUUUCUGUCAUGUAUCUGAAGCUGUACAAACUCUGCCGUCUUCAUAUCCAAGAGACAGGCGGCUGACCCACGUCAAUACCGAAGUAAAUGCCAGGGAUCUUUAGUUUGUGAAAGGCGGUGAGUUGUGACGACUGCUGUCCUGAGACCAUUGAGUGCAGUCUGGAAUAUUCCAAAUGUGUGCCAGUUCCAUAAGAAAAAAGUUCCAAUUAAGAGUACACUCAUCAGGUAGAAACAGACACACACACACACACACACACGUAGUAUCACAUAUAGCAUUAUAAUAUGUGUGCAUGUAUUUGUGUCUGUUACUGUGGUUAGUUUAUCCCCUUUUUUCAUGUGUCUGUUUGUUGUUAUGACUGUGUAGUAGGCUCAAUAGUCCAGGACAAAGUCGGUCUGUCCUUCUACUACUACAUGCUACUUGACUUUGUCUGGAAGCCAUGGAUGCUGCCCUCAACAUGCUAAACCCUCACAAAUAAACUGAUAUCAAGAAUUAACAUUGAUGGUGAUGAUGGAAAGGCC